CAGGGAUUGCCCUAGUAACGGCGAGUGAAGCGGCAACAGCUCAAAUUUGAAAUCUGGCCUCGGCCCGAGUUGUAAUUUGCAGAGGAAGCUUUAGGCGCGGCACCUUCUGAGUCCCCUGGAACGGGGCGCCAUAGAGGGUGAGAGCCCCGUAUAGUUGGAUGCCUAGCCUGUGUAAAGCUCCUUCGACGAGUCGAGUAGUUUGGGAAUGCUGCUCAAAAUGGGAGGUAAAUUUCUUCUAAAGCUAAAUACCGGCCAGAGACCGAUAGCGCACAAGUAGAGUGAUCGAAAGAUGAAAAGCACUUUGAAAAGAGGGUUAAAUAGCACGUGAAAUUGUUGAAAGGGAAGCGCUUGUGACCAGACUUGCGCCGGGCUGAUCAUCCGGUGUUCUCACCGGUGCACUCUGCCCGGCUCAGGCCAGCAUCGGUUCUCGCGGGGGGAUAAAGGCCCAGGGAACGUAGCUCCUCCGGGAGUGUUAUAGCCCUGGGUGCAAUGCCCUCGCGGGGACCGAGGUUCGCGCAUCUGCAAGGAUGCUGGCGUAAUGGUCACCAGCGACCCGUCUUGAAACACGGACCAAGGAGUCAAGGUUUUGCGCGAGUGUUUGGGUGUAAAACCCGCACGCGUAAUGAAAGUGAACGUAGGUGAGAGCUUCGGCGCAUCAUCGACCGAUCCUGAUGUUUUCGGAUGGAUUUGAGUAGGAGCGUUAAGCCUUGGACCCGAAAGAUGGUGAACUAUGCUUGGAUAGGGUGAAGCCAGAGGAAACUCUGGUGGAGGCUCGCAGCGGUUCUGACGUGCAAAUCGAUCGUCAAAUCUGAGCAUGGGGGGCGAAAGACUAAUCGAACCAUCU
rnacentral:rRNA from 1 species